AUUGAACGCUGGCGGCAGGCUUAACACAUGCAAGUCGAGCGGGGUGAUGGUGCUUGCACUAUCACUUAGCGGCGGACGGGUGAGUAAUGCUUAGGAAUCUGCCUAUUAGUGGGGGACAAUAUCUCGAAAGGGAUGCUAAUACCGCAUACGUCCUACGGGAGAAAGCAGGGGAUCACUUGUGACCUUGCGCUAAUAGAUGAGCCUAAGUCGGAUUAGCUAGUUGGUGGGGUAAGGGCCUACCAAGGCGACGAUCUGGAGCGGGUCUGCGAGAGUGAUCCGCCACACUGGGGCUGGGACACGGCCCAGGCGCCUACGGGAGGUAGCAGUGGGGAAUAUUGGACAAUGGGGGGAACCCUGAUCCAGCCAUGCCGCGUGUGUGAAGAAGGCCUUAUGGUUGUAAAGCACUUUAAGCGAGGAGGAGGCUCUUUUGGUUAAUACCCAAGAUGAGUGGACGUUACUCGCAGAAUAAGCACCGGCUAACUCUGUGCCAGCAGCCGCAGUAA
rnacentral:rRNA from 1 species